AUAUGAGGUAGAGGUCGCGAUUUUUAUUAAUCUUGUGGAGUGAAAGGACACGUCGAAGCAAGCCUAGGAACAAUCGCCGAAAUGUAUAGCAGCCUUUCUGUUGUAUGUUGGGACAUCACGCGAACAGCUGAUGGACUGUCUUGGCAGUAAUGCUAAGUUGCGCUAUGUUUUCG
rnacentral:ncRNA from 2 species